CCCUUAGAUGUUCUGGGCCGCACGCGUGCUACACUGAGUGGAUCAGCGGGUCAGGUUGCGCGAAAGUGUUUCCUAAUCUUUAAAUCCGCUCGUGAUGGGGAUUGACGGUUGCAAUUUUCCGUCAUGAACGAGGAAUACCUUGUAAGCGCGGGUCAUCAUCCCGCGCUGAAUACGUCCCUGCCCUUUGUACACACCGCCCGUCGCUCCUACCAAUUGAGUGGUCCGGUGAGGCUUUGGGAUCUGAGCGGAAAGAGCGUUUCGCUGUUUCUGCCCGGAAAACUCAGUCGAACCUUAUCAUUUAGAGGAAGGAGAAGUCGUAACA
rnacentral:rRNA from 1 species